UAUGUAGGGUGCGAGCGUUGUCCGGAAUUAUUGGGCGUAAAGAGCUUGUAGGCGGUUUGUCGCGUCUGCUGUGAAAAUCCGGGGCUCAACCCCGGACUUGCAGUGGGUACGGGCAGGCUAGAGUGUGGUAGGGGAGACUGGAAUUCCUGGUGUAGCGGUGGAAUGCGCAGAUAUCAGGAGGAACACCGGUGGCGAAGGCGGGUCUCUGGGCCGAUACUGACGCUGAGGAGCGAAAGCGUGGGGAGCGAACAGG
rnacentral:rRNA from 1 species